rnacentral:tRNA from 1 species
GAGAUAUUAGUAAAACUAAUUACAUGACUUUGUCGAAGUCAAAUCAUAGGGUAUAACCUAUAUAUCUUA